rnacentral:sRNA from 1 species
GUGUCAAGGGACAGACACAGGCCUUCAAGGAUGACGGCCAGGGACAUCGCGGGACGCGAUUCAUCAGUGGAUGAUGAUUGGGACAUACAGGGACUACGGAAAAAAAUGUGGGCGGGUCAAACCGCCCCUUUUUU